rnacentral:rRNA from 1 species
CUGGUUGAUCCUGCCAGUAGUCAUAUGCUUGUCUCAAAGAUUAAGCCAUGCAUGUCUCAGUGCAAGCCGUCCAGUACGGUGAAACCGCGAAAGGCUCAUUAAAUCAGUUAUGGUUCCUUAGAUUGUACCCACGUUACUUGGAUAACUGUGGUAAUUCUAGAGCUAAUACAUGCCGACAGAGUUCCGACCAGCGUCGGGCGCGGUUCACGCCGUCGCUCGGCGUUCGGAAGGAACGCUCUUAUUAGAUCAAAACCG